rnacentral:rRNA from 1 species
AUUGAACGCUGGCGGCAGGCCUAACACAUGCAAGUCGAGCGCGAAAGGCUUUCGGGCUGAGUAGAGCGGCGGACGGGUGAGUAACGCGUAGGAAUCUACCUGGUAGUGGGGGACAACUUGGGGAAACUCAAGCUAAUACCGCAUACGCCCCAAGGGGGAAAGCGGGGGACCUUCGGGCCUCGCGCUAUCAGAUGAGCCUGCGUAGGAUUAGCUAGUUGGUGAGGUAAAGGCUCACCAAGGCGACGAUCCUUAGCUGGUCUGAGAGGAUGAUCAGCCACACUGGGACUGAGACACGGCCCAGACUCCUACGGGAGGCAGCAGUGGGGAAUAUUGCGCAAUGGGGGCAACCCUGACGCAGCCAUGCCGCGUGUGUGAAGAAGGCC